rnacentral:rRNA from 1 species
UACAGAGGGUGCGAGCGUUUAAUCGGAAUUACUGGGCGUAAAGCGUGCGUAGACGGUCAUGUAAGUCGGAUGUGAAAGCCCCGGGCUCAACCUGGGAAUUGCAUUCGAGACUGCAAGGCUUGGGUGCGGAAGAGGGAAGCGGAAUUUCCGGUGUAGCGGUGAAAUGCGUAGAUAUCGGAAGGAACGCCCGUGGCGAAAGCGAGGUCCUGGACGUCUGCUGACGCUG